UACGUAGGGCGCAAGCGUUGUCCGGAUUUAUUGGGCGUAAAGAGCUCGUAGGCGGCUUGUUGCGUCGACUGUGAAAACCCGCGGCUUAACCGCGGGCUUGCAGUUGAUACGGGCAGGCUAGAGUUCGGUAGGGGAGACUGGAAUUCCUGGUGUAGCGGUGAAAUGCGCAGAUAUCAGGAGGAACACCGGUGGCGAAGGCGGGUCUCUGGGCCGAUACUGACGCUGAGGAGCGAAAGCGUGGGGAGCGAACAGG
rnacentral:rRNA from 1 species